rnacentral:rRNA from 1 species
GACGAACGCUGGCGGCGUGCUUAACACAUGCAAGUCGAACGGAAAGGCCCUGCUUUUGUGGGGUGCUCGAGUGGCGAACGGGUGAGUAACACGUGAGUAACCUGCCCUUGACUUUGGGAUAACUUCAGGAAACUGGGGCUAAUACCGGAUAGGAUCUCCUGCUGCAUGUUGGGGGUUGGAAAGUUUCGGCGGUUGGGGAUGGACUCGCGGCUUAUCCGCUUGUUGGUGGGGUAGUGGCUUACCAAGGCUUUGACGGGUAGCCGGCCUGGGAGGGUGACCGGCGACAAUGGGACUGAGAUACGGCCCAGACUCGUACGGGAGGCAGCAGUGGAGAAUAUUGCACAAUGGGCGGAAGCCAGAUGCAGCAACGCCGCGUGCGGGAUGACGGGCUUCGGGUUGUAAACCGAUGUGGACUGUGACGAAGAGAGAGUGACGGUAAUGGGUAAAGAAGCACCGGCUAACUACGUG